UACGUAGGGGGCAAGCGUUGUCCGGAUUUAUUGGGCGUAAAGAGCGUGUAGGCGGCCAUGUAGGUCCGUUGUGAAAACUCGAGGCUCAACCUCGAGACGCCGAUGGAAACCAUGUGGCUAGAGUCCGGAAGAGGAGAGUGGAAUUCCUGGUGUAGCGGUGAAAUGCGCAGAUAUCAGGAAGAACACCCGUGGCGAAGGCGGCUCUCUGGGACGUGACUGACGCUGAGAAGCGAAAGCAUGGGGAGCGAACAGG
rnacentral:rRNA from 1 species